GAACUUAAAGGAAUUGACGGGGCCCGCACAAGCGGAGGAGCAUGUGGUUUAAUUCGAUGAUACGCGAGGAACCUUACCUGGGCUCGAACGUAAGAUGACUGUAGGUGAAAGCUUACAUCUCUUCGGAGCAUUUUACGAGGUGCUGCAUGGUUGUCGUCAGCUCGUGCCGUGAGGUGUCGGGUUAAGUCCCAUAACGAGCGCAACCCCUACCUUUAGUUGCCAUCAGGUUAAGCUGGGGACUCUAAAGGAACUGCCUACGCAAGUAGUGAGGAAGGCGGGGAUGACGUCAAAUCAGCACGGCCCUUACGUCCAGGGCUACACACGUGCUACAAUGGCCGAUACAGAGGGCAGCUACCUGGUGACAGGAUGCAAAUCUCCAAAGUCGGUCUCAGUUCGGAUCGGAGUCUGCAACCCGACUCCGUGAAGUUGGAUUCGCUAGUAAUCGCGCAUCAGCCAUGGCGCGGUGAAUACGUUCCCGGGCCUU
rnacentral:rRNA from 1 species